AAUCGCGGAUCAGCAUGCCGCGGUGAAUACGUUCCCGGGCCUUGUACACACCGCCCGUCACACCAUGGGAGUCGGUAACACCCGAAGCCAGUAGCCCAACCGCAAGGAGGACGCUGUCGAAGGUGGGAUUGAUAACUGGGGUGAAGUCGUAACAAGGUAUC
rnacentral:rRNA from 1 species